rnacentral:rRNA from 1 species
UACGGAGGGGGCUAGCGUUGUUCGGAAUUACUGGGCGUAAAGCGCGCGUAGGCGGCUUUGUAAGUUAGAGGUGAAAUCCCGGGGCUCAACCUCGGAACUGCCUUUGAUACAGCAAGUCUUGAGUUCGAGAGAGGUGGGUGGAAUUCCUAGUGUAGAGGUGAAAUUCGUAGAUAUUAGGAAGAACACCGGUGGUGAAGGCGGCCCACUGGCUCGACACUGACGCUGAGGUGCGAAAGCGUGGGGAGCAAACAGG